rnacentral:rRNA from 1 species
CCGUGCCAGCAGCCGCGGUAAUACGGAGGGUGCGAGCGUUAAUCGGAAGUUACUGGGCGUAAAGCGCAUGCAGGCGGCCUGUUAAGUCAGAUGUGAAAGCCCGGGGCUUAACCUCGGAAUUGCAUUUGAAACUGGCAGGCUAGAGUCUUGUAGAGGGGGGUAGGAAUUUCAGGUGUAGCGGUGAAAUGCGUAGAGAUCUGAAGGAAUACCAGUGGCGAAGGCGGCCCCCUGGACAAAGACUGACGCUCAGAUGCGAAAGCGUGGGGAGCAAACAGGAUUAGAUACCCUGGUAG